UACGUAGGGGGCUAGCGUUGUCCGGAAUCAUUGGGCGUAAAGCGCGUGUAGGCGGUCCGGUAAGUCCGCUGUGAAAGUCGGGGGCUCAACCCUCGGAUGCCGGUGGAUACUGUCGGGCUUGAGUUCGGAAGAGGCAAGUGGAAUUCCUGGUGUAGCGGUGGAAUGCGCAGAUAUCAGGAGGAACACCUAUAGCGAAGGCAGCUUGCUGGGACGACACUGACGCUAAGGCGCGAAAGCGUGGGGAGCGAACAGG
rnacentral:rRNA from 1 species